UAAGAUCAUGUACCAUAUUUUCAGUUUCAAUAUUUUCUUAUAAUUCUCUGUUAUUUGAGUGAUAAUGUAAGGAUGCUGAGUUCAUUUGUUAAUUUUUGGGUAUGUAAAUUACAGGGAAUGAAAGAUCUAAAGCUUGAUAGAAACAUAAAGACACACGGCCCUUCUUCAUUAAUGAGUUAAAGUAGAAGACAUUCAUGGACCCUCAUGAUGAAUAUGAUCUGAUGGAACUUGUAUAGUUGUUAUUAGAUUGGAUUGUAAUUUCUAGUUUAGUAAACUUAUGAAAAUGAAUGUGCUCAUAUUUUAGCUAUUAAUUUAUAAUGGUUCGUAAUCAUUUAUGUAAA